rnacentral:tRNA from 1 species
AAAGAUAUACAAAAGACUUCUAAUCUUAAUUUUCCUUACGGAAUAUCUUUA